rnacentral:rRNA from 1 species
UACGAAGGGGGCUAGCGUUGCUCGGAAUCACUGGGCGUAAAGGGUGCGUAGGCGGGUCUUUAAGUCAGGGGUGAAAUCCUGGAGCUCAACUCCAGAACUGCCUUCGAUACUGAGAGUCUCGAGUCCGAGAGAGGUGAGUGGAACUGCGAGUGUAGAGGUGAAAUUCGUAGAUAUUCGCAAGAACACCAGUGGCGAAGGCGGCUCACUGGCUCGGUACUGACGCUGAGGUGCGAAAGCGUGGGGAGCAAACAGG